GGACUUAGCAUCAUAGUUACACUAGAGGGGACUCAGGUGCAUAAACAAAUACAGUAUCAUUGUAGAUGUCAUAGGGCAUCCCACCCCCUUUCCAACUGCCAGAAUACUGAAUGUCUAGCAGGUUUUGAAAAAUCUUUAUGCAACCUGAGCCAUGGCAGAUACAGAGCUGCAGAUAGAGUUCUCUGUUUUAUGCAAUACCUUGUGAGCUUACAGUGGGGAAGGUGCAAUGGAUUUUCACUUCCAAAGAAACCACCUUGAGCACUG
rnacentral:lncRNA from 1 species